AGGGUUUAUAUGUAUGGUGUAAUGUUUGCAAUGCACCAUACUUAAGUAGGCCUUAAAACCAAUAUGCAAUGGCAAUGUGUAGCUGCUGUUAUUUCAGGAUGUGUUGCUGAUGUGAUUAAAACCUCUAAGAAUAAAGCCCUACUAUAGUAACUUUGACAAAACUUCUCUUAGAAGAUCAAUUCCAAUAACUGCUUUAUAAGACAAUUUUUAAUGACUAAUAUUUUCUCUGUAUCAUGAUUCAAGUUGUUUUGCUGAGUUUUA
rnacentral:misc_RNA from 1 species